rnacentral:siRNA from 1 species
CACAACAUGUAAUAUUAGUUUCGU